rnacentral:lncRNA from 1 species
UUAACAGAAUCAUUCUAACUCCUACUUUGAAAAACGCUGAUGCUCCUGAGGUGGCAGGCGUAUAAAAACAAAAACAAAAAAAGAAAAACGCUGAUGAGUUGAUGACUUGGACUACAGUUGGAUACAGUGAAGAUGGUGUGAGGUGGUUGGAUUCUAGAAAUAUUUUGAAGCUAGAGUCAAUAGAAUAUCCUGACAGGUUGAACAGGUAAGCGACGGAAAAAAAGGCGACGACAACAUCAACAUUUUGGCCAUUGCAACUGGAAGGAUGGAUAAAGUUACUGUCGAGAUGGAAAGACUUGGAGCAGCUAUACAGAUGAGGAAACUGAGACUCAAGUAAAGUAACUGGCA